UGGGGAAUAUUGCACAAUGGGGGAAACCCUGAUGCAGCGACGCCGCGUGAAGGAAGAAGUAUCUCGGUAUGUAAACUUCUAUCAGCAGGGAAGAAAACAGACGGUACCUGACUAAGAAGCCCCGGCUAACUACGUGCCAGCAGCCGCGGUAAUACGUAGGGGGCAAGCGUUAUCCGGAUUUACUGGGUGUAAAGGGGGGCGCAGACGGCCAUGGCAAGCCCGGUGUGAAAGGCAGGGGCAUAACCCCUGGACUGCACUGGGAACUGUCAGGCUGGAGUGCCGGAGGGGUAAGCGGAAUUCCUGGUGUAGCGGUGAAAUGCGUAGAUAUCAGGAGGAACACCGGCGGCGAAGGCGGCUUACUGGACGGCAACUGACGUUGAGGCCCGAAAGCGUGGGGAGCGAACA
rnacentral:rRNA from 1 species